UCUAAACGAUUACCUAAUUUAUUGUAUUUAAAAAAUUUAAAAAAUUUAAAAACUCAUUUUAUCGUUGAAUAAAACUAAGUAAUAAUAGCUGAUAAAAAAAUAUAAUCUAAAAAAAAAAAUGAUGUGAUGAUAAUCUUUUAAUUAUAAUUAAAUUAAAUAUUAUCUUCGUGUUAUUUUUAUAAUUCAGAUAAUGCUAUAACGUUAACAAUAUAUCAACAUACGAAAGGAGAAAAGUGCAAUGCUUUCAUUAUUUAUUUUGGAAGAUUUAAAAAUGUCUAUUGAUGAUAUACGAUACCUUUACCAGUUAAGCUCUCUAUUUGCUGCAACACAAUUUUUCCACUGGAUUAAUUAGAAGUAAGACAAUCAUCGUCACAACACACACAACAUUCAUGCACGCAGGCACAGAAGCUCUCAUUCACAGUGGCGUUAAAGGACUUGUCGCAUAAUGUUUUCAGACAUACGGACACUAACGUUACGUGUACGGUACCAACAUACAUAAUAGUAUUUUAUAACUUUACUUUCCAUACCACAUCGGUUGAAAAAGGAAUUGACUCCGAUGUUUUGCUUAGUCGGUAAACAAAAAACAUACUCGUAUAUUGAACAAUAUGCAAAGAAAUAUUUCACAUUAUAGAUAGACGUAAACGUAUGGGGAAGUCUGUGAAUCAAGAAAUCUGAGUAGUUUUAACUCUUUCACCCCUCAUCUGAAGUAACCCAAAAC